UAAAAAAUUACAAGAAAUUAUUAAAAUGGAAGAAGAUAAACAAGUUUAACUCCUAGAAAAAAUUUAAUUGUUAACUGUUAAUGUUAAUACUAAUCAAUCCAAUUAUUCAUCUAUAGAAUUAUUAAAAUAAAUUCAACAAAAAAUAAAUAAAGAUUAUGUAUCAAUAAAAGAUGUUCAUAAAUGAAGGAUAGAAAAAGAAAAAAUAAUAAUUGAAGUAAAAAUUCAAUCUGAAAGAAAAUGGGCUGAUACAAUUCAAGAUCUCAAGAAACAAUAUCAAUAUCUCAAUAAACUUUUAUCUAAACAGAUGGAUCGACAAGAAAAACUAGAAAUCAAAUUAAAAAAGAAAUUUCAUAAUACAUGUCAAAUAUUUGAACUUGAAAUUGACAAACUACAAAGAAAUCUUUGAACUAAAGAAUUGGAGGAAAACAUUUUAAUAAAAAGGUGCGACUUAUUAUCACAAGAAAUUGAAAAUACUCGGAAAACGAAAAAUUUAAUUGAAAAAAC